rnacentral:rRNA from 1 species
CCUACGGGAGGCAGCAGUGGGGAAUACUGCACAAUGGGCGAAAGCCUGAUGCAGCAACGCCGCGUGCGGGAUGAAGGCCCUAGGGUUGUAAACCGCUUUCAGCAGGGAAGAAAAUGACGGUACCUGUAGAAGAAGGUGCGGCCAACUACGUGCCAGCAGCCGCGGUGACACGUAGGCACCAAGCGUUGUCCGGAUUUAUUGGGCGUAAAGAGCUCGUAGGCGGUUCAGUAAGUCGGGUGUGAAAACUCUGGGCUCAACCCAGAGACGCCACCCGAUACUGCUGUGACUAGAGUGCGGUAGGGGAGCGGGGAAUUCCUAGUGUAGCGGUGAAAUGCGCAGAUAUUAGGAGGAACACCAGUGGCGAAGGCGCCGCUCUGGGCCGUAACUGACGCUGAGGAGCGAAAGCGUGGGUAGCAAACAGGAUUAGAUACCCUGGUAGUCCACGCCGUAAACGUUGGGCACUAGGUGUGGGUCUCAACCAACGAGAUCCGCGCCGUCGCUAACGCAUUAAGUGCCCCGCCUGGGGAGUACGGUCGCAAGGCUAAAACUCAAAGGAAUUGACGG